rnacentral:lncRNA from 1 species
AUGGCCAUUCCACCAUUCUAUUAAUUCAGCUGCUUCAGGAUGAUGAGAAACAUGCUAAAACGAGUGGAUUCACAGAGUCCCUCCAGGGAUGCAAUAUUGUUUUUGAUUUACUACUUUUCUAGAUAGAGGAAGCUCUAAUGGCUUCCAUUUGGCCUUUCCCAGCAUAAUAGCUCUCACCCUACCAGUCACGAGCCAAUGUAGAGGUUCUGCCAUGUGCUGUCUGUAUCAGGAACCCUGAAGUUCUGUGCAGAGAGGGAGACAACCUGCCCUUCAUGUCUGCAGUGGGACCUGAGACUUCGCAUUUCUAAUAAGCUCUGGUUGAUGCAGAUGCUGUUGGCCUGGGGACCACACUUUGAGGAGCAGGGCUUUAAAGAUGUGAUUUCUUUGAAUAGGUUAACAGACUGAGAAACCAAACCCUCUGCCUACAGUUUAUGAAAGAAAGAAGAAGUUACUGAAGUUACAGAAGUUACUGAAAGAAAGUUGACUGAAGAAAGAAUGGGAUAGACCAACACAGGGAUGGCCCAGAAUGCAAGUGGAAGAGGAGCCUCUCCCUUGUUCUGAGGCACUGUUUGAUAUUACG